GCUUACGGCCAUACUACCCUGUCUGCGCCCGAUCUCGUCUGAUCUCUGAAGCUAAGCAGGGUUCGGCCUGGUUGGUACUUGGAAAGGGUGACCUCUGGUGGUGAAUGAA
rnacentral:rRNA from 1 species